rnacentral:rRNA from 1 species
AUUGAACGCUGGCGGCAGGCCUAACACAUGCAAGUCGAGCGGAGCGGCGGACGGGUGAGUAAUGCCUAGGAAUCUGCCUGGUAGUGGGGGAUAACGUCCGGAAACGGGCGCUAAUACCGCAUCCUCUCAGAUGAGCCUAGGUCGGAUUCGCUAGUUGUGGGGGUAAAGGCAUACCAAGGCGACGAUCCGUAACUGGUCUGAGAGGAUGAGCAGUCACACUGGAACUGAGACACGGUCCAGACUCCUACGGGAGGCAGCAGUGGGGAAUAUUGGACAAUGGGCGAAAGCCUGAUCCAGCCAUGCCGCGUGUGUGAAGAAGGUCUUCGGAUUGUAAAGCACUUUAAGUGGGGAGGCGUUACCCGCAGAAUAAGCACCGGCUAACUUCGUGCCAGCAGCCGCGGUAAUUC